UGAGUGGAACAAGCCCAGUGGGCCUCAGC
rnacentral:piRNA from 1 species